rnacentral:rRNA from 1 species
UGCUCAGGAUGAACGCUGGCGGCGUGCUUAACACAUGCAAGUCGAACGAUGACUUUUGUGCUUGCACAGAAUGAUUAGUGGCGAACGGGUGAGUAACACGUGAGUAACCUGCCCUUGACUUCGGGAUAAGCCUGGAAACUGGGUCUAAUACCGGAUAUGCACCGUGGACCGCAUGGUUCUUGGUGGAAAGAUUUUUUGGUCAGGGAUGGACUCGCGGCCUAUCAGCUUGUUGGUGAGGUAAUGGCUCACCAAGGCGACGACGGGUAGCCGGCCUGAGAGGGUGACCGGCCACACUGGGACUGAGACACGGCCCAGACUCCUACGGGAGGCAGCAGUGGGGAAUAUUGCACAAUGGGCGAAAGCCUGAUGCAGCGACGCCGCGUGAGGGAUGACGGCCUUCGGGUUGUAAACCUCUUUCAGUAGGGAAGAAGCGAAAGUGACGGUACCUGCAGAAGAAGCGCCGGCUAACUACGUGCCAGCAGCCGCGGUAAUACGUAGGGCGCAAGCGUUAUCCGGAAUUAUUGGGCGUAAAGAGCUCGUAGGCGGUUUGUCGCGUCUAUCGUGAAAGUCCGAGGCUCAACCUCGGAUCUGCGGUGGGUACGGGCAGACUAGAGUGAUGUAGGGGAGACUGGAAUUCCUGGUGUAGCGGUGAAAUGCGCAGAUAUCAGGAGGAACACCGAUGGCGAAGGCAGGUCUCUGGGCAUUAACUGACGCUGAGGAGCGAAAGCAUGGGGAGCGAACAGGAUUAGAUACCCUGGUAGUCCAUGCCGUAAACGUUGGGCACUAGGUGUGGGGGACAUUCCACGUUUUCCGCGCCGUAGCUAACGCAUUAAGUGCCCCGCCUGCAA